AUGGAAAUACAAGAUUAUAUAUCCAACUACCAUGCCAAAGAGUGAUUAAAUCAAAUCACAGAUUAUACAAAAUCCAACAUCUGCUUAUCUUCAUUGAGUCAAUCAAAAUUAUUACAGUAAUAGCCCUAGAUGAAUAUUACAAUAAGAGUUAACUAUACAACACUAAAACCUCAUAAAUCAGUAUUCUCCUUCUGCCUCACAUUUGCUUAACCUUCUGCCUCAUAACUGAGAUUAAAUCACGAGAUUAACCUGCUUAAACACGUGAGUAUUACACUAAUUAACAACUAUGAAAUCCACGACUUCCAAACUUAGCUGACUAUACAGAUUUCAUUUCAACAUGUGACAUUACUCAAAAAUAGGAAUCAAGCCAAUACACACGAAGUGGUUGCGUUCGGGAAAAUCAAAAAUCAAGCAUCUCAUUCUAGUUAAAUUGAACAGGUAUUUUGUUCAGUAUUUAAGCUAAAUCAAAGCAUAUACAUUCAAGUAUCAAUAAAUGGACUUAGCCAAAACAAGUCAUGGAUUCAAGUAAUGACUACAAAUGAGUCAAAGAACAAUCAUAAUACUCAUAUCCAAGCAAAUCCGACAAUAGCUUCAAAGAAACAUACCUAAUAACUUGAGGAUUAGGCUUAAAGGAAAAGAAAACCCAGUAGAGGUCGGAAAAAACAGAUUGGAGUCCAACUAUGCAGAGAACAAUAGUAGUUUCGAUUCAGAAUAUUUAGAAACCCAGCAAUAUGAAAAGGAAUGAACACUGCCUCAAACAAUUCAGAAAUAGCCUCUCUAUCCUACUUUUUUUUUUCUUUUAUGGAAUAUUUAGUGUUCUAUAUCAGAGAAGAUGCCUUUCUUUUGCUCUUGAGUGUGUGAGAGAGUGAGAGUGUAAUGUGUAGAUAAAUUUUUCUCCCCUAAAUGAAAAGUGUGUUCCCUUUUAUAGAAAUCAGUCGUGCCCUGUAUGAAGAGAAUAAGGGAAUAUAAAGAGGAAUCUGUCAGCUGAAAAAAUGGAACAAAAAGCAUCUUUUUAACCAAUUUUGUACAGCUGUCCCUCUUAUAUGAGAUAUUUUCCUUUUUUUCAGCACCUUAUCUUAACAAGAUCGGGACAACUGUCCUUUUCUAGAAGUUUCUUCUCAUUUUCACUCUUUUCAACUUCUGAAAAUUGACCUUUUUUACCCAAACUCUGACCUAAUUCAAUUAUGUUAUUGCACUUAAGUCUUUUUUCUAGAAGCUUCCUGAGCAGCUAGUUAGAUUCCUUAAAUUUGAUUUCCAAUUACUCCCUUAAAGUUUCUGUUAUUACCCUUUCACCCCUUAAUUCCAAUUGACACUCAAACAUCACAAGUCAAACAAUUAAGACCAAAUCAAGGAUUAAACAAAACAGAAACAACUUACCAAUUACAAGUGGGGUCUGAAGUACGCAGCCUUACCCCUAUCCUGGAAGGGCAGAGAGCUUACCAAUUAAACUUAGCUAAAUUAUUAAAUUAAUUAAAACUGAUUCACUUAACCUAAAACCAUACAAUUAACUAAUUAAUCUUACUUUCACUGAACUUAAUCAAAUUAAUAAACUAAUCUAAUCAAAAGAAAUUAACAUCUAAGUGAUAAUCUGAAAAGAAACAAAAAAAGGAAAAGAGAAGAUACACUGAUUUGGCUUCUAAAAGAGACGCUGAUUGAGGCGAAUCGACGAACACUGACGACGACGACAAGGCUUUGGCUGGCCAGUGGCGAGUUGGCCGAAAUCCAGUAGGUCGGUCAAAUUCUGAUGACCUCGAAAUGAACUAAAACGAAUGUCAAUCGAUUGCUCUCGUUAAGAGCAAUCGAUUAACGUAAGUUUUAGACCAAAACGAGUUGGCAUCUGCCAAGAAAUCAGAAAAGGGAAAGAUUAGGGUUUUUUGUUUUUUGGAUUUUUAGAUCCGAAAAUCAACGGAUUUGGUGGGGAUUUUGGGAAAACUAGUGAUGGAUUUGGAAAGAGGGAGGGACGAGCACUGUAUGGUGAGAAUCUGGGAUUGUUUGGUGGUGUUAAAGGUGGCGGCCGCCGGUGGGGGUUUGGGGGUGUGAUGGCGGCUAUGGUUUAGAAAGUUGAGGGAGAUGAAAAAGAAAUGAAAAAAUGGUUUUAGGGUUUGGGGAGGGGUCUGUUUGGACAGUUAUAAGGGGAGGAAGUGGGGAG
rnacentral:lncRNA from 1 species